GCGUGACCGAUGCAAGGUUUUCGAUCGCAAAGUUCUGUUGUUAGGGAAGAACCGCCGGGAUGACCUCCCGGUCUGACGGUACCUAACGAGAAAGCCCCGGCUAACUACGUGCCAGCAGCCGCGGUAAUACGUUAGGGGGCAAGCGUUGUCCGGAAUUAUUGGGCGUAAAGCGCGCGCAGGCGGCUUCUUAAGUCAGGUGUGAAAGCCCACGGCUCAACCGUGGAGGGCCACUUGAAAACUGGGAAGCUUGAGUGCAGGUAGAGGAGAGCGGAAUUCCACGUGUACCGGUGAAAUGCGUAGAGAUGUGGAGGAACACCCGUGGCGAAGGCGGCUCUCUGGCCUGUANCUGACGCUGAGGCGCGAAAGCGUGGGGAGCGAACAGGAUUAGAUACCCUGGUAGUCCACGCCGUAAACGUUGAGUGCUAGGUGUUGGGGACUCCANUCCUCAGUGCCGCAGCUAACGCAAUA
rnacentral:rRNA from 1 species